UACGUAGGGACCAAGCGUUGUUCGGAUUUACUGGGCGUAAAGGGCGCGUAGGCGGCAAUUCAAGUCAGCUGUGAAAUCUCCGGGCUUAACUCGGAACGGUCAGCUGAUACUGUUUUGCUAGAGUGCAGAAGGGGCAAUCGGAAUUCUCGGUGUAGCGGUGAAAUGCGUAGAUAUCGAGAGGAACACCUGAGGUGAAGACGGGUUGCUGGGCUGACACUGACGCUGAUGCGCGAAAGCGUGGGGAGCGAACAGG
rnacentral:rRNA from 1 species